ensembl:lncRNA novel transcript, antisense to C7orf33 and CNTNAP2
AGAUUUCCUGUCCUUGGGAAGCUGUCAUCAUCCUUCUAUCUUUACACCCCAUGAUUUACCCCUUGCAGUGUACUUAUUACACUGUAUUGGAAUCGCUUCUUUUCUCUUUCUCUGUGAAUUUCUUGAGAGCACAGACUACAUUCUGCUUAACUUUUUAUCCCCAGCUUUCAGCACAGUGCCUGGCUGCUUUGGCGUCUCCAAGUACCUGACCUCAGCUCAACCUGUCUUGGGUUUUCUUCUCCUCCCUGACAUUGACAACCCAGCCCUCCUAGGCACAGAGAGAUGGAGCUGAGUGUGGUUUUCCUGAAAUAAAGCUUGCAUUAUGAGAGGGAAUAAACAGAAGAAAAAAAUAUCACUAGAUGAAAAAUUAUAGAAACCAUCACAUCCAGUCAAUUGGUUGCUGUAAUUCCAAAAGAUUUAGACAAAGUGAAGAAAGCUUACCCACUGGAGGGCAUGUAAUGUCACCGGCAUGUGACGAGAUGUGCAUAUUUGUGGUGGACCGGGUGCUUGAUGUGAGAAGUGCUGGCAAUGAGGAGUCAGCCUGGCCCAAAUAACCACAAAAAAGAACAGAUUUCAGACAGGCCGUUUUACAGUUUCCCACUUGUUCUUUUGCCAACUUCCAGCCACUUCUUUCUCUAGCACUGAUCAAACAAAACAAACGAUCAUUCUGGAAAAGUUCUGAAAAUAUAGGUCACUUGUUUCUUUUUGUUAUCUUUAAUCUGCUGUGUAUCGACUUACCUUUCCACACUGAUCCACUCAAUUUACGUUUAAAUAAAGUUUUCAAAUUAACUGCA